rnacentral:rRNA from 1 species
CUACGGGCUGCAGCAGUGAGGAAUAUUGCACAAUGGGGGGGACCCUGAUGCAGCAACGCCGCGUGGAGGAUGACGCAUUUCGGUGUGUAAACUCCUUUUAUAUGUCAAGAAAAUGACGGUAGCAUAUGAAUAAGCACCGGCUAACUCCGUGCCAGCAGCCGCGGUAAUACGGAGGGUGCAAGCGUUACUCGGAAUCACUGGGCGUAAAGGACGCGUAGGCGGGUUGGAAAGUCAGGUGUGAAAUCCUACGGCUUAACUGUAGAACUGCACUUGAAACUUCUAAUCUAGAGUAUGGGAGGGGGAGAUGGAAUUAGUGGUGUAGGGGUAAAAUCCGUAGAUAUCACUAGGAAUACCUAAAGCGAAGGCGAUCUCCUGGAACAUUACUGACGCUAAGGCGUGAAAGCGUGGGGAGCAAACAGGAUUAGAUACCCCCGUAGUC